CCUACGGGUGGCAGCAGUGAGGAAUAUUGGUCAAUGGACGCGAGCCUGAACCAGCCAAGUCGCGUGAGGGAAGACUGUCCUAUGGAUUGUAAACCUCUUUUGUAGGGGAGCAAAAGACGCCACGCAUGGCGUUCCGUGAGUACCCGAUGAAAAAGCAUCGGCUAACUCCGUGCCAGCAGCCGCGGUAAUACGGAGGAUGCGAGCGUUAUCCGGAUUUAUUGGGUUUAAGGGGAGCGCAGGCGGAAGAUCAAGGCAGUGGUAAAAUUGAGAGGCUCAACCUCUUCGAGCCGUUGAAACUGGUUGUCUUGAGUGAGUGAGAAGUGUGCGGAAUGCGAUGUGUAGCGGUGAAAUGCAUAGAUAUCACGCAGAACUCCGAUUGCGAAGGCAGCAUACCGGCGCUCAACUGACGCUCAUGCACGAAAGUGUGGGUAUCGAACAGGAUUAGAUACCCCUGUAGUC
rnacentral:rRNA from 1 species